rnacentral:rRNA from 1 species
AGUGAACGCUGGCGGUAGGCCUAACACAUGCAAGUCGAACGGCAGCACAGGAGAGCUUGCUCUCUGGGUGGCGAGUGGCGGACGGGUGAGGAAUACAUCGGAAUCUACUCUGUCGUGGGGGAUAACGUAGGGAAACUUACGCUAAUACCGCAUGCGACCUACGGGUGAAAGCAGGGGACCUUCGGGCCUUGCGCGAUUGAAUGAGCCGAUGUCGGAUUAGCUAGUUGGCGGGGUAAAGGCCCACCAAGGCGACGAUCCGUAGCUGGUCUGAGAGGAUGAUCAGCCACACUGGAACUGAGACACGGUCCAGACUCCUACGGGAGGCAGCAGUGGGGAAUAUUGGACAAUGGGCGCAAGCCUGAUCCAGCCAUACCGCGUGGGUGAAGAAGGCCUUCGGAUUGUAAAGCCCUUUUGUUGGGAAAGAAAUCCAGCUGGCUAAUACCCGGUUGGGAUGACGGUACCCAAAGAAUAAGCACCGGCUAACUUCGUGCCAGCAGCCGCCGUAA